AUUGAACGCUGGCGGCAGGCCUAACACAUGCAAGUCGAACGAGUGGCGGACGGGUGAGUAAUGUCUGGGAAACUGCCUGAUGGAGGGGGAUAACUACUGGAAACGGUAGCUAAUACCGCAUACCAUCAGAUGUGCCCAGAUGGGAUUAGCUAGUUGGUGGGGUAACGGCUCACCAAGGCGACGAUCCCUAGCUGGUCUGAGAGGAUGACCGGCACCCCGGGAACUGGACAACGGUCCAGACUCCAAGGGGGGGCAGCGGUGGGAAUUAUUGCAAAAUGGGCGAAAGCCUGAUGCAGCCAUGCCGCGUGUAGGAAGAAGGCCUUCGGUUUGUAAAGUACUUUCAGCGGGGAGGCGUAACCCGCAGAAGAAGCACCGGCUAACUCCGUGCCAGCCGCCGCGUAAUAC
rnacentral:rRNA from 1 species